GGCAUGGUGGCGCAGUGGUUAGCAUUGCCUCACAGCAAGAAGGUUGUGGGUUCGAAUCCGGCCGGUGGCC